UACAGAGGUCUCAAGCGUUGUUCGGAUUCAUUGGGCGUAAAGGGUGCGUAGGUGGCGUAGGUAAGUCAGGUGUGAAAUCUCGGAAGCCUGCAACAUCCCGAAACUGCACUUGAUACUGCCCUGCUCGAGUACGUGGAGGAGAUGAUUGGAAUUUACGGUGUAGCAAGUUGAAAGCGUAGAUAUCGUGAAGGAAGACCAGUGGCGAAAGGCCGAACUCGUCUGGACAGUUACUGACACUGAAGGCACGGAAGGCCAAGGGGAGGCAAACGGG
rnacentral:rRNA from 1 species